rnacentral:lncRNA from 1 species
CAAUAAUUGAAAGGAAACCCAUUUAUCAAUCUGAAAUCAAUUAGAAUGUUCCCUAAUAUCCUGGAGUUAAUUAAAGCUGAACUUAAAUAGCCUAAUCCCUAUUAAUUAUUAUUCUGAUUCUUCACAUUUAAAAAAGUCCAUCAAAAUAUAAUCAUUUUUCUUCAUUACACGCGCAUAAACUUUAUUUAGAAUAAUUGAACAAUGAAUAAAAAUGUUAAGAAUGGGAUUGAAGCGUACAACGAAUCUGAGAAGAAGACAAGAUUUUCCAACAGAGGAAUCACCGAUGUGUAUAUCAUCUACUGGAUAUAGUAGGGAGACCAUUGUUUUAUAUUUUACUUACUAUUGCAAUUUUCUAAAAUUGUAAUAAAUGUAAUACUCUUACUUAUUUCCUAAUAAUUCGAUGUAUAUAAAUAUAGCUCCUACAUGGGUGGUCACAGAAUUAGGAAUAAGGAACCAAUGUCAUGGUCGGACGAGAAUGAACACACUUUCAUCGAAAUUCUUUAUGAGAAAGUGAAAUCAAAUGUAUUGCAAUGUUCAACAUUCACGAAAGACGAAUGGGGUAGGAUCAACGAAAACAUGAUAGCUUCAACAAAAAUGGAUUACGGGAUAGAUAGAUUAAAGGGAAAGUGGAACCGCUUACGUAAGAUUCAUCGCAUGUUCUCUGAACUUUUGGGACAUACAGGGGUUACAUGGGAUCCAAAUACCAACAAAGUUAAUGCUGCAGAGGAAGUUUGGCAACACUUUUAUACGGUACAUGUAUUUAUUAAAGAAUAUUUUCGUCAUUAUUUUUUUCUUAUCAAUUUUUUUUUUAAUGUUCAACACUUUGACAAUGUGACUUCUUUUCCAAUGGCAGAUUAAUAGGUCGGAUUACAAGAUGUUCAAGAGGGAAGGAUGUAAGCACUACCACACUCUUGGGGAGAUAUUUAGUGGGACUACAGCUACUGGAGGAUUAUGCAAAGCCUCCACUCAGCUUCCAAACACAUCAGAGGAAGAAAGGCAACUAGAAGAUGAUUUUUUGAAUAGGGGAGUGCAUGUACAUGUAGAGAAUGAUGAUGAAGUCGAUGUGGUUUCUGAUACUCGUCGACGUAACGAAAUUGGUACAUCAAAUGAAUGACGACGUAAGGAACCUAAGAUCAGUAAAAGUGAUAAACUUGAGGCAUGCAUGGCACAAUGGUCAUCUACAGUUAGUAUGAGAAAUGAAGAUUAGAACACUUUAUCUAAAAGAAAAGCUUGCAAAGAUUCAAGGAAAAUCAAGUAAUCAGUCGGAUGUUGAAGUUAACAGUCCGGAUCCUUAUUCAAAUGUUAUUUGCAUGGACAUCUUAAACGAUAUUGAAGGGUUGUCUAAUGAGGUUUAUAUGAAAGCAAUACGGGCUUUUAAUGAUCCUAAUUUCAGGGUGUCAUUUGUGAAGAUGCCAGAAACAAGGAGAGGACUUAUCUUGGAACUACUAUGAUGUGAUUGUUGUUUUAAUUUUUCUAGUAACGUGUUGUUCUAAUUUGUGAUGUUGAAAUACUACGUUAAAGUGUGACUAUUGUUGUUCUAAUUUGUGAUGUUGAAU